rnacentral:rRNA from 1 species
UACAGAGGGUGCAAACGUUGUUCGGAAUUACUGGGCGUAAAGCGCGUGUAGGCGGCGUGGCAAGUCGGGUGUGAAAGCCCCGGGCUCAACCCGGGAAGUGCAUUCGAUACUGCUGCGCUCGAGUCUCGGAGAGGAUGGUGGAACUCUCGGUGUAGAGGUGAAAUGCGCAGAUAUCGGGAGGAACACCUAUGGCGAAGGCAGCUCGCUGGGACGUUACUGACGCUGAGACGCGAAAGCGUGGGGAGCAAACAGG